AUGGUUUCAUACAACGACAUACUCAAAGCAACGGACGGGUUUUCAGAAGCCAAUCUGCUUGGGAAGGGAAGAUAUGGUACUGUAUACAAAGGCACUCUAGAAAAUUUUGCUGCCGCUGUGAAGGUGUUUAAUCUGCAGCAAUCUGGAUCCUACAAGAGCUUCCUGGAUGAAUGUGAGGCACUAAGAAGAGUUAGGCACCGUUGCCUUGUAAAGAUCAUCACAUGUUGUUCAAGCAUCAACCACCAAGGCCAUGACUUCAGAGCGCUAGUCUUCGAGCUCAUGCCCAAUUUCAGCUUAGACCGCUGGAUCCACCCAGAUAUUGAAAGCCAAAACAGAAUGGGAACACUCAGCCUGUCACAGAGGUUAGAUAUCGCCGUUGACCUCGUGGAUGCUAUAGACUAUCUUCACAAUGGUUGCCAACCUUCCAUCAUCCAUUGCAAUCUCAAGCCAAGCAACAUUCUUCUCACAGAGGACAUGAGGGCUCGUGUUGGGGAUUUUGGCAUUGCUAGAAUUCUAAAAGAAGUUGCAAGCGAAGCUUCUGCAAGUUCCCUUAGCUCCAUGGGAAUAAGAGGAUCCAUCGGAUAUGUUGCUCCAGAAUAUGGAGAAGGGCUCCCAGUAUCUACUUAUGGUGAUGUGUACAGCCUUGGGAUCACCUUGAUCGAGAUGUUUACUGGAAGGUGCCCGACAGAUGAUAUGUUUAGAGAUGGGUUAACCCUGCAAUACUUUGCAGAGGCAGCAGGUCUAUCUGGGAAUGUCAUGGAGAUAGCAGACUCCAACAUCUGGCUGCAUGAUGAAGCAAAAGAUAGCACUAAUACAGAAAAUAUAACCAGAGCCAAGGAAUGUUUGGCUGCCAUCAUCCAGCUUUGUGUCCUAUGCUCAAAGCAAUUGCCCAGAGAAAGGAUGUCAACAAGUGAUGCUGCUGCAGAGAUGCAUGCCAUCAGAGAUGCCUACCUCGGUAGUCAGUGA
rnacentral:rRNA from 1 species